rnacentral:rRNA from 1 species
UAGGGAAUCUUCGGCAAUGGACGGAAGUCUGACCGAGCAACGCCGCGUGAGUGAAGAAGGUUUUCGGAUCGUAAAGCUCUGUUGUAAGAGAAGAACGAGUGUGAGAGUGGAAAGUUCACACUGUGACGGUGUCUUACCAGAAAGGGACGGCUAACUACGUGCCAGCAGCCGCGGUAAUACGUAGGUCCCGAGCGUUGUCCGGAUUUAUUGGGCGUAAAGCGAGCGCAGGCGGUUAGAUAAGUCUGAAGUUAAAGGCUGUGGCUUAACCAUAGUAGGCUUUGGAAACUGUUUAACUUGAGUGCAAGAGGGGAGGGUGGAAUUCCAUGUGUAGCGGUGAAAUGCGUAGAUAUAUGGAGGAACACCGGUGGCGAAAGCGGCUCUCUGGCUUGGCUUGUAACUGACGCUGAGGCUCGAAGCGUGGGGAGCAAACACGAUUAGAUACCCUGGUAGUCCACGCUGUAAACGAUGAGUGCUAGGUGUUAGACCCUUUCCGGGGUUUAGUGCCGUAGCUACGCAUUAAGCACUCCGCCUGGGGAGUACGACCGCAAGG